rnacentral:tRNA from 2 species
GCGCGGAUGGCGGAAUUGGUAUACGCGCAAGACUAAGGAUCUUGUGCCGCAAGGCUUGGAGGUUCGAGUCCUCUUCCGCGCA